CUGGCACAUUCAACAGUAAGGUGUUUCCAUAAGAAUAAGCGUCACGUAAUCUUAUAUCGACUACAAUCCGAAAUAUGGCUUCUUUUUGCGUUGGUACGUGGUAGUGACCCUGCUCUCAAUGGCGUUUGUGGAAGUGAUGGCCAAAGAACUCAUCUGCCUCCUGCCUGCUAAACUGGGUUCUUGUCUGUCUGUAUAUCCAAGAUUUCAUUAUGACUUCGACACGGAUCGGUGUUUAAUGUUCACUUACAGUGGUUGCAAAGGAAACGCCAAUAACUUUGAAACAAUCGAGGAAUGUCAAGAAACAUGCAUGUGAUCUCGCCCUUCAGGAAACAGAUUAUAAUUACUGAAAUUCUUGGAAAUAAAGUUCCUUAACUGCCACUUCACA